AGAGUUUGAUCCUGGCUCAGGACUAACGCUGGCGGCGUGCCUAACACAUGCAAGUCGAACGGUAACAUGUCUGUAGCAAUACAGAUGAUGACGAGUGGCGGACGGGUGAGUAACACGUAAAUAAUCUUCCCUUUGGACGGGGACAACCCAUGGAAACGUGGGCUAAUACCCGAUAAGAAUGUCGAGUCUCAUGACUUGAUACGGAAAUCACUUAGAUGGCCGAAGGAUGAAUUUGCGUCUGAUUAGCUAGUUGGAGAGGUAAUGGCUCACCAAGGCGAUGAUCAGUAGCUGGUCUGAGAGGACGAACAGCCACACUGGAACUGAGACACGGUCCAGACUCCUACGGGAGGCAGCAGUGAGGAAUUUUGCUCAAUGGGCGCAAGCCUGAAGCAGCGACGCCGCGUGAAUGAUGAAGUUCUUCGGAAUGUAAAGUUCUUUUGGCAGGGAAAAUUAUGAUUGUACCUGCAGAAUAAGCACCGGCAAACUAUGUGCCAGCAGCCGCGGUAAUACAUAGGGUGCAAGCGUUGUCCGGAAUUACUGGGCGUAAAGAGCGUGUAGGCGGCUUUUUAAGUCGUAACCUUAAAUACAGGGGCUUAACCCCUGUCAGGGUUCGAUACUGAUAAGCUAGAGAUUGGGAGAGGAAAGCGGAACUCACAGUGUAGCGGUGAAAUGCGUAGAUACUGUGAGGAACACCCGUGGCGAAGGCGGCUUUCUGGACCAUUUCUGACGCUGAGACGCGAAAGCGUGGGGAGCAAACAGGAUUAGAUACCCUGGUAGUCCACGCUGUAAACGAUGUACAUUAGGUAUUGGGGGUAUCGACCCCUCCAGUGCCGAAGCUAACGCGUUAAAUGUACCGCCUGGGGAGUACGGUCGCAAGAUUAAAACUCAAAGGAAUUGACGGGGGCCCGCACAAGCAGUGGAUCAUGUGGUUUAAUUCGACGAUACCCGAAAAACCUUACCAAAACUUGACAUCUACGGAAUCUCACGGAAGCGUGGGAGUGCUCGCAAGAGAGCCGUAAGACAGGUGGUGCAUGGUUGUCGUCAGCUCGUGUCGUGAGAUGUUAGGUUAAGUCCUGCAACGAGCGCAACCCUCAUAUUGUGUUGCUACAUUUAGUUGAGCACUCUCAAUAGACUGCCCGUGGCAAACGGGAGGAAGGUGGGGAUGACGUCAAAUCAUCAUGCCCUUUAUGUUUUGGGCUACACACAUGAUACAAUGGUCGGUACAAAGGGAUGCGAAGCCGCAAGGUGAAGCUAAUCUCAUAAAGCCGGCCUCAGUUCAGAUCGCAGGCUGCAACUCGCCUGCGUGAAGUUGGAAUUGCUAGUAAACGCAGAUCAGCAUGCUGCGUUGAAUACGUUCCCGGGCCUUGUACACACCGCCCGUCACACCAUGAAAGCCAGAAAUAUCCGAAGUAGAUGAGCCAACCGCAAGGGGGCAGUCUCCUAAGAUAGCGCUGGUGAUUGGGGUGAAGUCGUAACAAGGUAACC
rnacentral:rRNA from 1 species